CUUCUUUCCCCAGUUUUAGCCUCUAUACUCAAGAGUCUCCAAUAAUCCUUCCUUUUUUCUCUGUGCCCCUCCCAUCUCCGGCCUUGCCCUGGCCUGCUCCCGCCCCUACCAUAGGCACGCCCUUCAGAGUUUUAUACACGCCUUUGGGAUGAGGGAGAAUUCGUACUGACCUUGGAACUACACUGGAUCCCGUCUCAAAAAGGCAAAGAAGACUUAACUCUUGCUGAAUUUAAGGGUCAGGCCAGCCCCACCCUGAAGGAACUACAGGACUCAUGAAACAGUCCAUGAUUAGGAUCUAGAGAAGGAACCGUAAAUAUCAGAUGUAAAAAGAUCAACACCAAAGGCAAGUCCCAAACGUUUAGGAUGGUUUCCCCAAGCGAUAAAUGACUAAAGGUUAUGAACCGGCAGUUUUCAAGGGGAGCAAUCCAAUCUGAAUCACUUAAGAGCAGCUGUUCUCAAGUGUUUGGUCUGGGAGGUCUUUUCACUGGUAAAUUAUCGAGAACUCCAAAGAAAUUUUUUUUUAUAUAUGACUUAUAUUUACGGACAAACUGAUAAAUUUCAUCAGUUUUAAAGCAUUCCCUCUCCUAUCCCCAAUUUAUCCUGGAUAUUGCUUUUUUUGCAUACAGUAUUUGUUUUUGUUGACUCCCUCAUUAUUUUGUGAACUUGAAAAUAGGGACUACUGCCUUUUGCCUCUAUAUUCCCAACGUGUAGGGCGGUGUUUGGCCCCUAGGAGAAUCUUGACAAAUGUUUAUUUAUUAUUAAUAAAUUUAAAAAUAAUAAAUCCGUCACAUUUUAACACAAAUAACAUUUUUAUGAAAAAUUUUUUUUUUCCAUAAUAGAAAAGUUUAGGGAGAAGAGUAACAUCAUUUUAUAUUUUUACAAAUCUCUUUUAAUGUGAUAAAUAGAACCCAGUUGAACUCUCAUAUGAUUCUAAAUUCAAUCUGUUGCAAUAUUGUUUUGAUUGAAGUACCUGAAGAUCUGGCCUCAUAGUUGGAAAAGGAAUGACUAGUUAAAUAACUUUAAUAACUGUGGAUAGUCUUGUGCUGAAGGCAUCCUGUCUUAACCACCGAAACCUUCACAGAGGAGCUUGCCUUCCCCAAGACCAAGAAUCUUCCACAAUUCACUUUAACCCCUUUCCUGCCACAAAGAAUUGCCUAAUCUCCUGGGGUAACUCUUUCUGAGACUGAACUCCCUAUGGACAUAGAUAAUCUACCUUUUACCCGCACCCCAUCCCAGUGAUUCUGAACCUUCCUUUGCCAUUGUUCAGACCUCAUUCUUCAUCUGCCACUGACCAGUCCCUUAUUCUCCUCUCUCCUUCAAAGCAGCACCCCAUCACCCCAACCACCCAUUCAUUCACUGUACUCUAUGGAAUAUCUGUUUCUUCUUUCAAGAAGAUUUCCUUCUAAACUUUUACCUCUUUUGCUCAAAAUAAUUUGCAUUCAAAGAAUUCUGGCACACUCCGGAUAGAGCUGCCCUAGCUAUCAUUUCUAGCACUGGGUUGCACCUUCACUUAGACUUACUGGUUGUGGUGGGAUAAUUGGAUUACUCCUUGUUCCCUGUUGAUACCUUCAAAUUCUUUUACCAUCAUCACUCAAUAACCUUUUCCUCCUUUCAGAUUCAUUCAAUCCAUAUUUCUUAGCCAAUUAAAAAUUCUGUUAGCUGUGGUUUAUAGACCUCUAGAACACUCCUUCCUCUUCCUGUCUCACAGUCUUUCUCUGGAACUCCUGCUCUCAUACAAGUCAGAUCCAGGAUACAUAUUUAUUAUAUUCCCUCAAACACCAUGAUCCCCCAAUUCCUCAAUUUACUCAUUUCUCAUGACGAAUUCCUCUACUACACAUAAGAGUUAUCCUCAGAGAUAGUAAUACUUUUGAUCUUGCCAUAAUCCAAAAAUUAAAUCUGAAAUCCCCUCAUCUGACCAUCAUUUAUUGGUUUUCCAACUUUCCCUCAAUCUUCCUUCACCAAACCCUAUUCUUCCACAUCCUGACCUUAAAUCCUUUGAUCCUCACUUCUCUCCCAGGUCAUCAGCCUUAAACUAGCCACUCUUUGUCUUUUCUCCAAAUUGACCAGUUCAACUAUUAAAUCUUAACUAUUAACCCCUUAACUGCCAAUUGUGCCCUGCCAAGUCUCAGCCUUAAAUAAAUCUCACUGUCUUGCCGGUUUCUCUCCAACAUAGUGGCUGUUUUUUUAAGGUAGUAAAAAUAGUACAUCUAUUCUUACUGGAUCCACUAAAAAUUUCUGUCACACAUUAGGCCUUUAUUGCUGCAGGACAAUCCUACUGUACUUCUCAUCAAUUUACUAUUCUAUUUUCCACAAGAAGUCAUACAAACUUUAUCCUCCUCAUGGCUCCCCCUCCUCACACUCUCAGAUAAGAAUCUUGCUACAUAUAUUAUAGGAAAAAAAUUUAGGCCAUUUGCUAUGAGCUUGCUCUUUUCUCCUCUUCUUUACAUCAAACCUCCUGCCACAAUCUCCUGGGUCAUCCCUAAUUCACAUGAGAAGUGAUCUUAUGCUACCCACAUAAGUGGUCCUAUUACAUUCCAUCUCCUCAAACAGACUGUUACCUCUGUCAUCUCUGCUUUAUCAUUUAUUUUCCGUCUCUAUCAGUCUAUUGGUUUCUUUGCUUAAAUGCCCCCCCAAACCUCAAAAAACCCUCACUGGAACCUUUCAUUCCCAGUAUCAUCCCAUAUCUUUUCUACACUUGGUGGCUAAACUUCUUGAAAAAGCCAUCCACAAUAGCUACCUCUUAUUUCUCUCCUCUCACUCUCUUACUACCUUACUCUCUAGCUUCUAGACCUCAUAAUUCUGCUGAAACUAAAAGUUACUGAAGAUCUCUCAACUGGCAUAUCCAAUGGCCUUUUCUCAAACCUCAUUCUCGUCAACCUCUCUGUACCCUUUGAAACCUGUUGAUCAUGUUCUUCUUGAUACUUUCUUUUCUCUAUGUUUUUAGGAAUCCAUUAUCUCUUGGUUCUCUUCCCAACUGUCAGACUGAUCCUUCUUAAUGUUCUUUGCUGGAUACCCUCUAAUGUGAAUUUUAAAAGUACUCCACCCUACUCAGACCUUACUUUAGAAGAUCUGAUUUAGCUACCUCCUGAUUAGUAACACUGGAGAUACUUGGUUUAACAGAAUCAAGCCUUGGGAACUCUAUAUUUCUCCACACUACUUAGUUUAACAAGGUCAGGAAUGUCUGCACCAUACUCAAGGAUUAAGUAUUUGAGAAAAUGCCCUUCAACAUAUAUGUGCAGAAACAGCAGACAUAACCCUGGGCUGUCCUAAGUCAAGCUAAGCUAACAUUGGUACAAAUGAGAUGCAGGAAAGUGAUGUAAAACUGUCUAUAUAGGGCAAAUCACUUGCUCUCUUUUGGCUCUUUUCCCAGAGAGGUGUCUCUGGCUGGUAGCAUGCUAAGCGUUCCAACUUCUUGGUGUGGUGGCAGCUAUUUGUCUGGAUUUGGGCGGUGAGUUUGCCCUUGAGCUAAUUCAGGUUCAGGCAUCUUGGCUGAGACCUCUUGGAGUUCAGGCUGAUUCCUUCCUCUUUUUCUCUCCAAAACCUUAACUUCUAGAGCCUCUAAUCUUCCUGCCCGGCACAAGCCAGGCAGGAGAAAAUUCAUGCCCUUUUCCUUCUCCCUUCUUAAAUUUCUUUCCACUAUAUUAAUUGAAUAACCAUAAAUUUCCAGACUGACUUGGGUAUUUUUUUUUGUUAUUUGGGAUCUCCAUUGUGGCCAAUAAUUAAUUUACUUUAGGUCACAAUGCUAAAAUUAUCCUUUACACUAAGAACUAGAUAAAUAGAACCACCAGACAAGAAAGAAGUUAAGGAAAUGAAUAGAAUUUUAGAAAGUUAGAAAUAGGACUGUAGAGAAAAUUUGAUGGGAAUAGAAAGGGUGUGCCUUAUUCUCAGCUAUAAAUGGAACUCUCACAAAAAAUGUAUUAGGCCAUGAAAACCUUACAAACAAAUGCAGAAAAGCAGAAAUAGUAAAUACAUACUUUUUGGACAAUAAUACAGUAAAAAUGUCAUUCAAAAAUGGGCCUUAGAAACAUAGAUUAAAAAUUAAUUGGAAACUAAUCUAAUCCUAAAAAAUGACUGGGGUCAAAGAACAAAUGAUGAUAACAUUCAAUAAAUCCAUUAAAAAUAACUGCAACCAUAAAACAUUUUGGAGGAUGUGGCCAAAGCAAUAUUUGGGAGAAAAUUCAUAUUUUUAAAUGCUUAUAUCAGUAAAAGAGAGAAAGAAAAGAUCAGUAAAUUGACUAUGCAACUAAUAAAAAAGAAAGAAAAAGAAAAAAUUUUAAUCCCUAAUUAAGCAUUAAAAUAAUAUUACUCAAAACCAAAAAGAGAAAACUAAAAUAACAUUGAAAGUAAAAAAAAUGAAUCAAUAAAAAUAAAAAUGAUUUUAAGUGUUUUUUUUAAUUUUUAAAAAGAAAGAAGGAAUUACCAGAGGAAAAAGUGUCAAAAAAUGAAAAGGGUAAAUCAAGAUGAAAUUAAAGAAAUCAUUAGAAGUUAUUUUGCCUAUACUAUGCCAAUAAAAAUGACGAUCUAAAUGAAAUGGAUGAGUAUAAAGUGUCCAGAUUAAAAGAGGAAGAAAUGGAAUCUUUAUAUGACCCUAUUUUAGAAAAAAAAAAUUGAACAAGCCAUAAAUGAGAUCUCUAAGAAAAAAUCUUCAGAUCCAAAUAUAUUUACAAGUAUUUUCUACUAAACAUUUAAAAAACAAUUCCAAUACAAUAUAAACUAUUUGAAAAAAUACUUCAAGGUGGAAUUCUAACAAUUUUUUCUAUGACACAAAUAGGAUUUUGGUAUAUAAACCAGGGAGAGCAAAAGAAGAGAGAAAAAACUUUAAAAUUGAAGGGGUGGAUCCAAGAUAGAGGAAAAACAAGAGCAACAGCACCAUUUCAUCAUGAAAAUCCUCACUAAGAUUAAAAUAUUGCCACAAAACAAAUCCAGGAGUGAAAGAACCAAUAAGGGGACAGAGGGAAACAACCUUCAAGAAAAGAAAAACACAAAAGGUAGGCAGAGACUAUCUGGGGAACUAAGGUGAAAGUGGAGCAGAGCUUACAGGAGGCUAUUGCAGGGAGUGACAAACUAUCCAGGAGAAAACCACAAUUCCCAACCCUCACCCCACCCUCACUCCACAUCUGCUGUCACAGGUUCAGAAAUGGAUCUCUAGCUAACAAUCAGACCCCGAUAUACUGCCUGGGCAAAUAGUAGUGCAAGCCAACCCAUAAUCCUUAAAAUUCCAAACCUGUGAAGAAUUCCAGAGUCCCAGACCAGAGCAAGCUGAGGUGAAGGGGGCUAAUCAAUGUGGUUCCAGAGCAAAGCCAGGAAUCCCAGUCUGGGCUUGGGAUAAGGACAUAAUGUAUGGUCUCAGGUGAGGACACAGUUCUCAGGGGGAGCCUCCCUAGAACUUUUUGCCCAAAACUAAAGAUGGGGCUCCAGGAGAGGUCAAUGAAGGACUUGCCUGAAUGAAUCAAGAACACCUGGAAACCAAAAUCUUGAACCUAAGGCUGGGGCUAGAAUUUGAUCAGUCCUUGAUCUGAUCAAGAUCAGAAUGAGAUCAAAAGCUUAUACCUAAGCCUGAGAAAAGCCUUUAAGCUAUCAGUAUCACAAGGAUCAAUUGAAUCAGCAGGGGGAGAGGGCUCUCAGACCUCUCAGCCCUCAGACAAUCACAUCAUCCCCCUCUACCCCCAAGCCUACCUAUAAUUAGAUAGGAAAAAUGAGCAAACAACAAAAAUAUCAGCCCACUCUAAAUAAUUUUUUAAUUUUUUUUAAAAACCCUUACCUUCUGACUUGGAGUCAAUACUGCAUAUUGGCAGAAGAGUGGUAAGGGCUAGGCAAUGGGGGUCAAGUGACUUGCCCAGGGUCACACAGCUGGGAAGUGCCUGAGGCCAGAUUUGAACCUAGGAUGUCCUGUCUCUAGGCCUGGCUCUCAAUCCACUGAGCUACCCAGCUGCCCCUAUCUAAAGAAUUUUUAUGGAGACAAAGAGCAAGGUAUUGACACAGAAGGGGCCAGUGAAAACAAAGGAAACACAUAGAGUCCAAAAGAAAAAUAUGAAUUAGAUACAGAUUCUGGAAGAACUAAAAAAAGACUUCAAAAACCAAUUAAGAGAGGAAGAGGAAAAGUGGGAAAGAGAAAUGAAAGUGAUUCAAGAAGAAAUGGGCCAAUUGAAAAAGGAGAACCAAAAACCAAUAGAGGAAAAUCAGGCUUUAAAAAUCAGAAUUGGCCAUCUAGAAACUAAUGAUUUCAUGAGAAAUCAAGAAACAAUAAAGCAGAAUCAAAGGAAUGAAAAAAUAGAGGAAAACAUGAAAUAGCUUAUUGCAAAAAUAACUCACCUAGAAAAUAGAUCUAGGAGAGAGAGUUUGAGAAUUAUUGGACUACCUGAAAGCCAUGAUCAAGAAAAAACCUUGGAUAUCAUCUUAAAAGAAAUUAUCAAAGAUAACUUCCCAGAGAUCCUUGAACAAGAAAAUAAAAUUGAAAGAAUUCACAGAUCAUCUGCAGAAAGAAAUCCUCAAAUGACAACUUUCUUGAAUGUAAUACCUAAAUUCAAGAGUCACCAAGCCAAGGAAAAACUACUUCAAACAGCCAGAAAGAAACCAUUUGUAAUUAGAAUUUUGGUCCCCAGGACUCUGAAUCCCAGCUUUCCAUGCUCCUUCUCACAUUAUGUGCUAAUGUAGGGAAGAUAUAUUUUGAGUGUAGCUCCAUCCUUUUGCUCUCUUUUCCCAGGAAUGCCAUUUGUGGAGGUUAGGGUGAGAGACAGGCAGGAGAAGUUUACUCAUUUCGUCAUUUUUAAGUUUUGUACUUUGUUCUUUUAUUUCUUCUACUUCAAAUGAUUACUAAUAAAUCUUAUAAAAUAUAUUACUUGGAGUUAUUGGGUAUUAAUUUGAAUCUAACACAUUCAUAUAUCAUGGAGCUAUAAUCAGGAUCACACAGGAUCUAGCUGCUUCUACAUGUAAAGAUCAAAAGGCAUCAAAUAUGGUGUUCAGGAAGGCAAAGAUUUGGGCUUACAAAAAAAAAUUCAAAAUCCAAAUAUGAGACACAAGCAAAACCUAUAAAAGAUAAAUAUGAAAGAGAAUAUUUAAGGGACUCAUUAAGGUAAAAAUAUUUAUGUCUACAUGAAAAGAUGAUUUCUGUAAUUCCCAAAAAUUACUCUUAUUAGUAGAGAAGAUAAAAGGUAUUUACUCAGAAAGAGGGUGUAGAAGUAAGCUGAUUAUGAUGAUAUGAUGUGUAUGUAAAUUUGAUGAUAUGGAACCAUAUGUUUAUAUGAUAUGAAAUGUAUGCAUAUGAAUGAUAUGUAAAAAAAUCAAUCAAGGGCUGAAAGAGAGGGUUGCACUGAGAGAAAAGGGAAGGGAGAGACAAAAUGGGGUAAAUUAUAUAACAAAGAGGCAUGAAUAAGAAUUGGUGAUGGGCAAUGCUUAAAUUUUACUCUCAUUGUAACUGGCUCAGAGAGGGAAAACAAGUAUACUCAGUGGGAAAUAGAAGAAUAUGGCAAGGGAAGCACCCUCUGUGGUAAUUGAAGGGAGGGUGAGGUGGAGGGGGUGUGACAAAAAGCAAAAUGCUGAUGAGGAAGACCAGAGUGAAAGGGAAUAGAGCAGGAUCUAAAGGGAAUAAUAUUAUGGAUGGCAAUAAACAAUUAGUAAUCAUAACACUGAGUGUGAAUGGAAUGAACUCACCGUUUAAAUGGAAGCAGGUAGCAGAGUGGAUUAAAAACCAGAAUCCUACUAUAUGUUGUUUACAAGAAACACAUUUGAGGCAUGGUGACACAUAGAUAUUCAAGGUCAAAGGCUGGAGCAGAAUAUAUUAUGCAUCAUCUAAAGUUAAAAAAAAAAAAGCAGGAAUUGCAAUCAUGAUGCCAGACAAAACCAAAGUAGAAAUUGAUCUAGAUUAAAAGA